rnacentral:rRNA from 1 species
UACAGAGGUCUCAAUCGUUGUUCGGAUUCAUUGGGCGUAAAGGGUGCGUAGGUGGCGAGGCAAGUCUGGUGUGAAAUCCCGGGGCUCAACCCCGGAACUGCACUGGAUACUACUUUGCUAGAGUACUGGAGAGGAGAUUGGAAUUUACGGUGUAGCAGUGAAAUGCGUAGAUAUCGUAAGGAAGACCAGUGGCGAAGGCGAAUCUCUGGACAGUUACUGACACUGAGGCACGAAGGCCAGGGGAGCAAACGGG